rnacentral:piRNA from 1 species
UGUGAUGAAGUGGAAAUGACCUGGUGA